UUCAUCUUCAGUUUAUACUGGAAUCUCUCAUCGGUUCCGGCUAGAUAACGAGAGGUUGAAGCAGGUGAAAUAUGAAGAGGCUACUGGUACUGCCGAAGAAGUCCGUUUUAUUGUACCAGCUCAGGUGUCCGUUCGGAUCCUGCUCCAGCUGCAGUUGGUCCUCUUCCCGGUUUAGCACAUGUCCCAGAAAAACAGUGUCUGGAGGCAUAUCUCGCAGAGAUUCGUA